rnacentral:rRNA from 1 species
AUUAGGCCGAGGGCACGYCUGCCUGGGCGUCACAC